AUAGUCCGCUAUUCUGCAGUGAUUUUCUUCCAAUCCAGUAUCAUUUGUACGUUGCAGCAUCAUCGAACACUAUGACCCAUGAAUCAGAAGAUAACGUAGAUGCUACGAGAGAGCUCAUUUCACAAUGGACAACAGAAGUGUUACGUGACUUUCUACAAGGAGGGGACUCAAGCUUGGAAAUCGAGUACCGGUAGUCAUUAUUUUAUGGGUGUUCUCUGCCUUGACUCUGGGGGUACUGUUCAGCCAUCCGAGGUAGAGAUAAACUGGACGAUGGAUGGAGAGGGGGCGGGGGGGGGGGGGGGGGGGGG
rnacentral:lncRNA from 1 species